rnacentral:lncRNA from 1 species
UGAUGGUAAAUACCGAGUGUCGACUGGAUUGAAGGAUGCAAAGUAUUGAUCCUGGGUGUGUCUGUGAGGGUGUUGCCAAAGGAGGUUAACAUUUGAGUCAGUGGGCUGGGGAAGGCAGAUCCAACCUCAAUCUGGUGCGCCAUCUAAUAAGCUGCCAAUGAAUAUAAAGCAGGCAGAAAAACAUAAGAAGGUGAGACUGGCCUAGCCUCCCAGCCUGCAUCUUUCUCCCAUGCUGAAUGCUUCCUGUCCUCGAACAUCAGACUCCAAGUUCUUUAGUUUUGAGACUCGGACUGGCUUCCUUGCUCCUCAAGCUUGCAGACAGCCUAUUGUGGGACCUUGUGAUCAUAGAUCCUUGAUUAAUACAGAUGGGGUCCCACUAUGCUGCCCAGGCUGCUUUCAAACAGGGUCUUAACUCUGUCACCCAGGCUGGAGUGCAGUGGUGUGACCACAGCCACUGCAGGCUCAACCUCUGGGACUCAGGUGAUCCUCCCAUCUCAGCCUCCCAAGUAGCUGGGACUACAGGUUGCUUCUUCCAGAUCCCUUUUGAUCUACUUUCAGCUAUGGAUUCAUGAGAAUCAAGACUAAGCAGCCUGAAUUGAAGGAGUAACAGUAUCACCUAACAAUGAUUUUGCUGCCAUAGUAGCUGUUUGUAUACUGGCCAUAUGCCUAGGUAAAAUGAGGCCAGAUCACUCUCAAGAGUUUUCUAUCAGAGUUGGUGGUGAACUACUGCUCACGGAUAAUGGGUCUCACUCACUUUGUCAUCCAGGCUGGAGUGCAGUGGUGGGAUCUCAGCUCACUGCAACCUCCACCUCUUGGGUUUAAGCAAUUCUCCUGCCUCAGCCUCCCAAGUAACUGGGAUUACAGACGAGAAACCCCAGCUGAGGAGGCAAAUAUACUCAAGGAAAGUAAUAGUUUCCAAAUGCCUGGCAGUGCCAGGAAGGGGCCAUGUCCAUGGACCACUAUGUAAGGAUAUCUCAGUCUCUAGUCCAGCGUGGUUUAUGGUGCCAAAUAAGUGCCAGGUGAACUCACUACAUCUGACAAAAUCUCAAGGAACCAAGUUUACCAGAUAAUAUUUAUGAUUAUGUGAAAAAGACUGAGGAAAUCACUCAAGUGAUCCAUCAUACAGCACCUCCAGUUCCAAAGAAUACUGACUUACUUCAGCUGUACUGGUCUGGAGCUGCACAUUCUUUUCAGACAACUCUUGUUCCAGUAAGUUCAGGCUAGAGUGCAAUGGUGCAACCUCAGCUCACUGCAACCUCCGCUUCCCAGGUUCAAGCGAUUCUCCUGCUUCAGCCUCCCUGGUUGCUGGGAUUACAGGCUUUGUUAUCAGGAUGAUGCUGGCCUCAUAAAAUGAGUUAGGGAGGAUUCCCUCUUUUUCUAUUGAUUGGAAUAGGUUCAGAAGGAAUGGUACCAGCUCCUCCUUGUACCUCUGGUAGAAUUCGGCUGUGAAUCCGUCUGAUCCUGGACUUUUUUCGGUUGGUGACUCUUCUCCUGUAACAGAGCCUCCUUCUUAGAAACUAUGGCCUCCCGUUUCUUUAAGUCUGCUUCCAGCUCCUCUAAUUCUUGGCGUUGGUUCAGAACUUUCUCUACUUCUUCAUCUAACCAUUUCUUUUGCUCAUCCAAUUUCUACAUUAAAAUUAAAAAAAAAGUUACUUGUUUUUCCUUCUGCCAUAAAAAUUAUAUGGUAAUAAUAGAAUUUCAGAUUGGCUGAAAUCUCUUAAAUGAACAUUUAAAAACUAUCACUCAGAGUAACUCAGGUAGCCGUCUGAGAUCCUAAAGACAUCAGUGGUUCUAGUCAAGAUGUAGCUAUGUUGUUUUAUAAAGAAUUAAAAUUUACUCCCCAGAUAUGUUAAACAGUCUAGGAUUUUUUAGCCUGACGAAGAAAGGGCUGAUAAUUUUCUAUGCCUAUAUUAAGAACAUGCUGGAAUCUUUUACUCUGUUGUAGUGGUGCACAGUUCCAUCACAGCACUUACACUGGUGGCUGCCCUACGUAUCUAUCUCCCCAGCUUGAGCUCCUUGAUUGAUUGCAGGGGCUGUAGUUUUUACCCGUCUAUCCACAUGGCUGGUAUAUUGCCUGGGCCACAGUAGGCAUUCAAUAAAAUGUUAAAUGAAUGAGUGAAUGAAUGCCUGAUUCAGUCAGUCAAUGAAGUGAAUAAAUGAAUACACACAGUGGAAGACACAGAUGAUGGAGGAUGGAAGGAAAGCCAAUUUGCAUUGUAGCUUGUCAACCUCAAAUAAUUAUUUUUAAAAAAGAAAAAAAACAAAAAUAAAAAAUUGCUGAAAAGAUCUCCAAAACAA